CACGUAGGGUGCAAGCGUUGUCCGGAAUUAUUGGGCGUAAAGGGCUCGUAGGCGGUCCGUCACGUCGGGAGUGAAAACUCGGGGCUUAACUCCGGGCCUGCAGUGGGUACGGGCAGACUAGAGUGCGGUAGGGGAGACUGGAAUUCCUGGUGUAGCGGUGAAAUGCGCAGAUAUCAGGAGGAACACCGGUGGCGAAGGCGGGUCUCUGGGCCGUAACUGACGCUGAGGAGCGAAAGCGUGGGGAGCGAACAGG
rnacentral:rRNA from 1 species